rnacentral:rRNA from 1 species
AGUGAACGCUGGCGGCGUGCCUAAUACAUGCAAGUCGAACGAAGUGGCUCACGGGUGAGUAAUAUAUAGUUAAUCUGCCCUACAUAGAGGAACAACAGUUGGAAACGACUGCUAAUACCUCAUAGUGUAGGAUGAGACUAUAUCGUAUCAGCUAGUUGGUAAGGUAAUGGCUUACCAAGGCUAUGACGCGUAGCUGGUCUGGGAGGGUGAUCAGUCACAUUGUAACUGGGGAGGGGUCCAAGCGCAAUCGGGCGGCAGCGGUAAAGAAUAGUGCGCGAUGGGGGCAGCCCUGAUGGAGGGACUCCGCGUGCGGAAGGUCGGCGUUCGGGUUGUAAACCGCUUAGCUGAGGAAGACGGUAGUGGAAGAAGAAGCACCGGCUAACUACGUGCCAGCAGCCGCGGUAAUAC